rnacentral:rRNA from 1 species
GACUACAGGGGUAUCUAAGCCUGUUUGAUCCCCACGCUUUCGUGCAUGAGCGUCAGUUUCUGCUUGGUGAGCUGCCUUCGCGAUCGGUGUUCUGUGUCAUAUCUAAGCAUUUCACCGCUACAUGACACAUUCCGCCCACCUCAACAGUACUCAAGAAUAACAGUAUCAAUGGCAGUUCUACAGUUGAGCCGUAGGAUUUCACCACUGACUUAUUAUUCCGCCUGCGCACCCUUUAAACCCAAUGAAUCCGGAUAACGCUUGCAUCCUCCGUAUUACCGCGGCUGCUGGCACGGAGUUAGCCGAUGCUUAUUCUUACGGUACCAUCAGCUCCGGUACACGACCGAAGGUUUUUUCCCGUAUAAAAGAAGUUUACAACCCAUAGGGCCUUCAUCCUUCACGCGGCAUGGCUGGGUCAGACUUGCGUCCAUUGCCCAAUAUUCCUUACUGCAGCCCCCCGUAGG